rnacentral:rRNA from 1 species
UACGGGGGGGGCAAGCGUUGUUCGGAAUUACUGGGCGUAAAGGGCGCGUAGGCGGCCUGCUAAGUCGGAUGUGAAAUCCCUCGGCUCAACCGAGGAACUGCAUCCGAUACUGGCGGGCUUGAAUCCGGGAGAGGGAUGUGGAAUUCCUGGUGUAGCGGUGAAAUGCGCAGAUAUCAGGAAGAACACCUAUGGCGAAGGCAGCACUCUGGGACGGUACUGACGCUGAGACGCGAAAGCGUGGGGAGCGAACAGG